rnacentral:rRNA from 1 species
AGUCGAGGGGCAUCAUGAGGUAGCAAUACCUUGAUGGCGACCGGCGCACGGGUGAGUAACGCGUAUGCAACCUGCCCGAUACCGGGGUAUAGCCCAUGGAAACGUGGAUUAACACCCCAUAGUACUUUUAUCCUGCAUGGGAUGUGAGUUAAAUGUUCAAGGUAUCGGAUGGGCAUGCGUCCUAUUAGUUAGUUGGCGGGGUAACAGCCCACCAAGACGAUGAUAGGUAGGGGUUCUGAGAGGAAGGUCCCCCACAUUGGAACUGAGACACGGUCCAAACUCCUACGGGAGGCAGCAGUGAGGAAUAUUGGUCAAUGGACGUAAGUCUGAACCAGCCAAGUCGCGUGAGGGAAGACUGCCCUAUGGGUUGUAAACCUCUUUUAUAAGGGAAGAAUAAGUUCUACGUGUAGAAUGAUGCCUGUACCUUAUGAAUAAGCAUCGGCUAACUCCGUGCCAGCAGCCGCGGUAAUACGGAGGAUGCGAGCGUUAUCCGGAUUUAUUGGGUUUAAAGGGUGCGUAGGCGGUUUAUUAAGUUAGUGGUUAAAUAUUUGAGCUAAACUCA